GUUGUUUUGCUGUCUUUUGGAAGAAAAAAAAAUAUAUGAGAAACAGAAAAACAAAAAUUUCUUUCCCCUAAAUCUUCAGAUUCAAUUUCCGUUUUCUUAAUCUUUUUUUUUUUUGAUUGUUCGAUUGUACCUUCGAUUAGCAAAUAAAGGAAGAGAUCUUAGUAAUUUACACUUAAACGAAGAGAGCCAUGAAUCCAACUGAACUACGAAAAGAACCGAAGUAAUCGGUUCCAAUCCAAAUCAAAAAAAUUCGCGUUCCACAGAUUGGAGAUGAUAAGGCAAGGUAGCCGAUUGUCCUUAAAAGUCUAACAAAUCAAGUGAUAAUCACAAUCACAAAGAUAAGCAACACCUUAUUUCUCUGAAAUAUUUCUGAUUUUUCUGUUUUUGAUAUUGUUUACUAACAUUUGUUUUCUUUCAUAGGUGAGGAAUAAUUCUCGAAUAUUAAAGUUGUCUUUGUUGAUCUGGCAUGAGUCAUCUGUUUGACAUAAGAUGAUCACAAAAA